GAGGCCUUUCCUGCUGUGUACGGGGUAAAUGCAUGGAAGCCUGUGACAGGACAGACAUGGUGCAGGGACCUGUCACCCCCUCCUCCUCUGCGAGCCUCUCUGGAGAUCUAUAUAUUAUACA